UGAUAUGAGGGUAGGUUAGUGUUAUGAUAUGAGGGUAGGUUAGUGUUAUGAUAUGAGGGUAGGUUAGUGUUAUGAUAUGAGGGUAGGUUAGUGUUAUGAUAUGAGGGUAGGUUAGUGUUAUGAUAUGAGGGUAGGUUAGUGUUAUGAUAUGAGGGUAGGUUAGUGUUAUGAUAUGAGGGUAGGUUAGUGUUAUGAUAUGAGGGUACGUUAGUGUUAUGAUAUGAGGGUAGGUUAGUGUUAUGAUAUGAGGGUAGGUUAGUGUUAUGAUAUGAGGGUAGGUUAGUGUUAUGAUAUGAGGGUAGGUUAGUCUUAUGAUAUGAGGGUAGGUUAGUGUUAUGAUAUGAGGGUAGGUUAGUGUUAUGAUAUGAGGGUAGGUUAGUGUUAUGAUAUGAGGGUAGGUUAGUGUUAUGAUAUGAGGGUAGGUUAGUGUUAUGAUAUGAGGGUAGGUUAGUGUUAUGAUAUGAGGGUAGGUAAGU